rnacentral:rRNA from 1 species
UACGGGGGGGGCAAGCGUUGUUCGGAAUUACUGGGCGUAAAGGGCUCGUAGGUGGCCAACUAAGUCGGACGUGAAAUCCCUCGGCUUAACCGGGGAACUGCGUCCGAUACUGGUUGGCUUGAGUUUGGGAGAGGGAUGCGGAAUUCCAGGUGUAGCGGUGAAAUGCGCAGAUAUCAGGAGGAACACCGAUGGCGAAGGCAGGUCUCUGGGCCACUACUGACGCUGAGAAGCGAAAGCAUGGGGAGCGAACAGG